ACGGAAGGCAGCAGUGGGGAAUAUUGCACAAUGGGGGAAACCCUGAUGCAGCAACGCCGCGUGAAGGAAGAAGGUUUUCGGAUCGUAAACUUCUAUCAAUAGGGACGAAGGAAAUGACGGUACCUAAAUAAGAAGCCCCGGCUAACUACGUGCCAGCAGCCGCGGUAAUACGUAGGGGGCGAGCGUUAUCCGGAAUUACUGGGUGUAAAGGGAGCGUAGGCGGCAUGGUAAGUAAGAUGUGAAAGCCCGCAGCUUAACUGCGAGGAUUGCAUUUUAAACUAUCAAGCUAGAGUACAGGAGAGGAAAGCGGAAUUCCUAGUGUAGCGGUGAAAUGCGUAGAUAUUAGGAAGAACACCAGUGGCGAAGGCGGCUUUCUGGACUGAAACUGACGCUGAGGCUCGAAAGCGUGGGGAGCGAACAGGAUUAGAUACCCUGGUA
rnacentral:rRNA from 1 species